rnacentral:tRNA from 1 species
GCCUAGAUAGCUUAGUUGGUAGCGCGUCUGCCUUGUAAGCGCUAGGCCGCGGGUUCGAUUCCCGCCCGAGGCG